AAAAAAAAAAAAAAAGGGCCGCAACUGGGAAAAUUAAUUAGAGAUAAAUACAUACAAGAAGAGGCGCUUGGAGGGUCAACAUUUAUAAAUACAAGCUGCUGAAAUUGGGCAGAGCUGCUGGGAAAGAAGGCAAAGAAAGAGGCUGAUUUGGCUGGUUUAUAUAUAUAUACAGCAAUUGCGGCAGAAAAUUUAAAGGAAUUGGAGACUAAUCUAUAGACAAAAAGGCAGCCAAUUGGGGGGUUAAUACACAUUGAUACACACGGAACCGAGAGGAAGAAAAACCAUAGAAAAGCUGGUUGGAAAUAAGAGAUUUCACAUUGGAUUCCAAGAAAGGCUGACGGCUGAGUUUUUUGUGCAAGUUUCUUCAAUAAUUGUGCAAGGAGCUUGAAAAUUCAAUCACUUCCUGUCGAUUUUCGGUGAUUUCCUUCCACUUUUAUUUGUUUAAUUCAACGUGAUGCUAGGCUAAAUCUUUACAUAUUUGCGCACCAUUACGACAAUAAAUUGCUUAUUCAUAGUGUUGGAAAACUCAUGAUAGGUAGAGCACUAUUAUUGGGACACACUGACAAUAAAUAUUAGGA
rnacentral:lncRNA from 1 species